GCUUUUCCAAAUUGCUUUUUUAACAAUAUUUAAAAUGACACUUUAAGCUGCUCUUAAAUCCUUAAUCACAGUGCCAAACAGGCUCUAAAUGCUUUUAAGAAAAGCAACUUGGAAAAAAAUGUUUUAUUAUUUUACUGUUCUUAUAGCUAAAGCAUAUCAAAUUUAAUUUUUGAAUCAAUUAUUAAUACUCUCCAACUAAUAUAUUUGAUAAAGUGUUUUUCUCAAUAGCAACCCUAACAACAAUGCUAAUCAGACCCUAAAUAAUCUAAACCACAAUGCAAGAAACUUCAUAUUUACAAACUCGCAUUUUCGAUCAAGUAAAUUGUGCAUGCUUAAGUUGGGCAUCGCCCACAAACAAAACCACACCACAUGAAAUGAUAAAUUAAACUAUGAGAAGGAAUAGAAUAGAAGUUCUAGCGUGCUAGACACAGCAUAAAUUAAGAUAGAACACAAGUUGCAAGCAAAUUAAAAAACAAGUAAUGCAAGCACAAACCCACACAAUCAACCAUUUUGAUAUAUAAUAGUAAAAAGUGCACAAACCUAAGGGGAUAUGCGAAGAUCCAGAU
rnacentral:misc_RNA from 1 species